CCUGGUGGCUAAGUUGGUAAAGAAUCCGCCUGCAAUGCAGGAGACCCAGGUUCAAUCCCUGGGUCAGGA
rnacentral:tRNA from 1 species